rnacentral:rRNA from 1 species
ACACAUGCAAGUCGAACGAUACAGUGGCAGACGGGUGAGUAACGCGUGGGAACGUACCUUUCACUACGGAAUAGCUCCGGCAAACUGGUGGUAAUACCGUAUACGCCCUCAGGGGGAAAGAUUUAUCGGAGAAAGAUCGGCCCGCGUUAGAUUAGAUAGUUGGUGGGGUAAUGGCCUACCAAGUCUACGAUCUAUAGCUGGUUUGAGAGGAUGAUCAGCAACACUGGGACUGAGACACGGCCCAGACUCC